rnacentral:rRNA from 1 species
CUAGGUGAUUAUAGCGAUGUGGUUCUACCUCUUCCCAUCCCGAACAGAGAAGUAAAACACAAAAACGCGCCGAUGGUACUGCGAUAUUAAGCGGGAGAGUAGGUGUCGCCACAA